rnacentral:rRNA from 1 species
UUGAACGCUGGCGGCAGGCCUAACACAUGCAAGUCGAACGGCAGCACAGAAGAGCUUGCUCUUUGGGUGGCGAGUGGCGGACGGGUGAGUAAUGUCUGGGAAACUGCCCGAUGGAGGGGGAUAACUACUGGAAACGGUAGCUAAUACCGCAUAACGUCGCGAGACCAAAGUGGGGGACCUUCGGGCCUCACACCAUCGGAUGUGCCCAGAUGGGAUUAGCUAGUAGGUGGGGUAAUGGCUCACCUAGGCGACGAUCCCUAGCUGGUCUGAGAGGAUGACCAGCCACACUGGAACUGAGACACGGUCCAGACUCCUACGGGAGGCAGCAGUGGGGAAUAUUGCACAAUGGGCGCAAGCCUGAUGCAGCCAUGCCGCGUGUAUGAAGAAGGCCUUCGGGUUGUAAAGUACUUUCAGCGGGGAGGAAGGCGGUGAGGUUAAUAACCUUGCCGAUUGACGUUACCCGCAGAAGAAGCACCGGCUAACUCCGUGCCAGCAGCCGCGGUAAUGCGGAGGGUGCAAGCGUUAAUCGGAAUUACUGGGCGUAAAGCGCACGCAGGCGGUCUGUUAAGUCAGAUGUGAAAUCCCCGGGCUUAACCUGGGAACUGCAUUUGAAACUGGCAGGCUUGAGUCUCGUAGAGGGGGGUAGAAUUUCCAGGUGUAGCGGUGAAAUGCGUAGAGAUCUGGAGGAAUACCGGUGGCGAAAGGCGGCCCCCUGGACGAAGACUGACGCUCAGGUGCGAAAGCGUGGGGAGCAAACAGGAUUAGAUACCCUGGUAGUCCACGCCGUAAACGAUGUCGACUUGGAGGUUGUGCCCUUGAGGCGUGGCUUCCGGAGCUAACGCGUUAAGUCGACCGCCUGGGGAGUACGGCCGCAAGGUUAAAACUCAAAUGAAUUGACGGGGGCCCGCACAAGCGGUGGAGCAUGUGGUUUAAUUCGAUGCAACGCGAAGAACCUUACCUGGCCUUGACAUCCAGAGAACUUAGCAGAGAUGCUUUGGUGCCUUCGGGAACUCUGAGACAGGUGCUGCAUGGCUGUCGUCAGCUCGUGUUGUGAAAUGUUGGGUUAAGUCCCGCAACGAGCGCAACCCUUAUCCUUUGUUGCCAGCGGUUCGGCCGGGAACUCAAAGGAGACUGCCGGUGAUAAACCGGAGGAAGGUGGGGAUGACGUCAAGUCAUCAUGGCCCUUACGGCCAGGGCUACACACGUGCUACAAUGGCGCAUACAAAGAGAAGCGACCUCGCGAGAGCAAGCGGACCUCAUAAAGUGCGUCGUAGUCCGGAUUGGAGUCUGCAACUCGACUCCAUGAAGUCGGAAUCGCUAGUAAUCGUAGAUCAGAAUGCUACGGUGAAUACGUUCCCGGGCCUUGUACUCACCGCC